UACGUAGGUGGCAAGCGUUGUCCGGAAUUACUGGGUGUAAAGGGAGCGCAGGCGGGAAGCCAAGUCAGCUGUGAAAACUACGGGCUUAACUUGUAGACUGCAGUUGAAACUGGUUUUCUUGAGUGAAGUAGAGGUUGGCGGAAUUCCGAGUGUAGCGGUGAAAUGCGUAGAUAUUCGGAGGAACACCGGUGGCGAGGGCGGUCUGCUGGACUGCAACUGACGUUGAGGCCCGAAAGCGUGGGGAGCAAACAGG
rnacentral:rRNA from 1 species